AACGAACGCUGGCGGCAUGCCUAACACAUGCAAGUCGAACGAAACCUUCGGGUCUAGUGGCGCACGGGUGCGUAACGCGUGGGAACCUGCCCUUAGGUUCGGAAUAACUCCCCGAAAGGGGUGCUAAUACCGGAUAAUGUCUUCGGACCAAAGAUUUAUCGCCUUUGGAUGGGCCCGCGUUGGAUUAGCUAGUUGGUAGGGUAAAAGCCUACCAAGGCGACGAUCCAUAGCUGGUCUGAGAGGAUGAUCAGCCACACUGGGACUGAGACACGGCCCAGACUCCUACGGGAGGCAGCAGUGGGGAAUAUUGGACAAUGGGCGAAAGCCUGAUCCAGCAAUGCCGCGUGAGUGAUGAAGGCCUUAGGGUUGUAAAGCUCUUUUACCCGGGAUGAUAAUGACAGUACCGGGAGAAUAAGCCCCGGCUAACUCCGUG
rnacentral:rRNA from 1 species